GACGAACGCUGGCGGCGUGCCUAAUACAUGCAAGUCGAACGCAGUGGGGACGGGUGAGUAAAACGGGGGUAACCGCCCAUUAGAGGGGAUAACACUUGGAAACAGGUGCUAAAGCGAGACUGAUGGAUGGACCCGCGGUGCAUUAUCUAGUUGGUGAGGUAACGGCUCACCAAGGCCACGACGCAUAGCCGACCUGAGAGGUGGAUCGGCCACACUGGAACUGAUACACGGCCCAGACUCCUACGGGAGGCAGCAGUAGGGAAUCUUCGGCAAUGGGCGAAAGCCUGACCGAGCAACGCCGCGUGAGUGAAGAAGGUCUUCGGAUCGUAAAACUCUGUUGUUAGAGAAGCGGUAUCUAACCAGAAAGCCACGGCUAACUACGUGCCAGCCGCCGCGGUAAUUC
rnacentral:rRNA from 1 species